rnacentral:lncRNA from 1 species
CGGUGGGUCAUGUGACCAGGCUCUGCAUUAGGCCUGCCGAGAGGAGUGUUUUCUUGCAUCCAGAAAAGACCUGAGAGGCGGACGACACCUGUGCUCCGCAGAGCAGAACGUGGGAGGAACGGCGGGAUGUUAAGGUAGGAGCUCAAGAAGCAGAGAGUCUACCUGCCCGACGCGUUCGUGGAGAGGAGCAGCGGUUGCUGUUGGAGGAGGUCUGUUUCUUUCUAGGUUCCUGUAGAGAUCUGUAUGUAGCUGUUCACUUGGAAGUUAAUUAAGAAAGAACAAAAACUAUUCAUUUGGAUUCAAGGUCCAUCUCCACUGGUGGCUGUGGUGGCUUUGGAUUGUUGGAAGACCAUCACCUUCAGCAGGUCUGCACUUGGGAACAAUCAUUCUCCCCCAGCCCGAGCGUGCCUCUGCCCUCUGUAUCAUUGACAGAGGCUGUAUGUUUGGAAAGAGAACUUUGUGACUGCAGAACUGACAGUUGACUCUA